CAGAGUGAAAUGGGACACCACCUUUCCCCGUGGCCUAAGGCGCUGGCGAUUGAAUUUUGCAGCAGCGCUCAGCUCACUUCGAGGUAGAGAGCUCAGCCGGCUGGUGACAAAGCCGCCUGUCUGCAGGUGUGCUUAGGGGACUGGGUAGGAGCAUGCAUGACCCGAAUGGCGCCUGGGUCUCUCUUGGGUGACCCCAGGAAGAGGCAGGGAAGGCACUGGCUGGGUGCGCGUCCAGCUUCGCCGCGUGUCUGCGGACCGCACUACGGGUAUGGAAGCGCAGCCAGGCGUUUGGCUCAAACUCGACAGCUGCUCGGAACGAGACGCCCGCGGAGCCCCUCUUAGACGCCCUGAGCUGUGUAUGGGGGAGGAGGAGGAGCCACCAUCCCAGGAAUGAGCCUCACACGGGCGGCGUCCUAGCCAGAGGGGUUUGCAGAUGAAGAAAGAGGUCAAGAGCUGCUGCGGUUCAUGGAGGAGGAGCUGGGCCUACUGCCCACACAGCUGAGCCCCUAGUCAGAGAAGCCAGGAUACCAGACCCCCCGGCCCUCCCCGUUCAGAGGAGGGGCUUGAACAUCUUUCUCCACCUUACAUCCCCGUGGCCAGAGUCUGAAGUCCUUCUUCACAGAUGUGCUGGACAAGACCGCACAUGGAGGCUGCCCAGAGAGCCUUUCAAGGCUGAGUGCGAAGGCAGGCUGCACUGCAAGCCAGGGUCGGGGGAUACAAGUGGGAGAUGGGCUUGGGUGGGGAGACUUGCCAGCACCUCCAAGGUAUGCAACACCCACCCCACUGCUCAGAAACAGACUGAGAUUAAACAAAUGGAUCAUUAAGAGA